UAGAGCGAAGAGAGGCAUACCUCAUCACAAAAAAAAAACACAGACACACAUACACUUCGAUACACCCACCCAUCUACACAUACACACAUACAAAUAUAUAUAUAUAUAUAUAUAGACAUUCGCAUAUAAUGCACCGACAUAGAUAGAUACGCCGCGACACGCACCACGCACAACGCGCUGCGUCGCUGAGAGCAAGAUCAAUCCUUAGCGUCCUCCCCCUUCUCCUUUUUGCACCCUGCAACAACAAAUCCGCUCUCUUGUUUUUGUUUGCCUGAGCGUGCCGUUACGCGCACACACGCAGGCACACAGAUAUACACCGAAACGCUCGAGUUGUGGCUGCUAUGCUGCACGUGCGGGGGAUGGUUUUCUCCGUUGUCUCCACGCAGAUACGCAGCCUCCUUCCCCAUCGACCAUGGACUCGCGUCCGUGUGCGACCACGUCGCCAUCGCGCUCCUCCGGAGUCAGCAAGUACACUGCCCUGCUCUCAGGGCUGGAGAGAAGCUGUCGAGUGACUCCAGCUACGGGUAGCUGCUUCACUCCGCAUACGGAGUCGAGGAAGAGUUAUUGUGCUGCACCACGGCUCCACCUAGCCGAGUCACCAGGCUCGUUUCUCGCGCUGUCUUCGUCCGCUUCUCCCGAUGCGCACUCCCUGUCUUCCUCCUUUGCGUCGUAUUCACCACUCGCCACCCAGCGACGCAGCGAGGCAGCCAUCGCCGCUGCCCGCACGCCGUCGGCGCUGUUUGAGGUUCGCGUUUACCGACGGCGGGGAAAGGGCACCAACGGCGGCACUCGACAGGGCUGCGAGGCCUUCGCGCAAAACGUGCGCCGUGGGCACCCGUGCGCCUCAUUCGCCACAACCUCCUCCAUCGACGCGCCUGCGGUGGCAGUCGGCCUGCUCGGCCCUCACUCCUACUCGACGCGCGCUGCUCCCGCCUCGCGACCGGGCGACGCUCAGCGCCGUCGUGGUGCCGGUAGUGGCGCACACGAGGCUGGCGUAGCGGCCCACUGCAGCCUCACCUCAGAUCACUACCUCAGCUACUACCUUGCUCGCUAUGGUGGCCGGCGCUUACCGCAGUCUUCCUGCCCCAGCGCCCUGACAGCUCCUUCGCUGGCGCGCAGAGAUGAUCUCUGCAACAACGCACUGGUGCCAGCGUCGGAGUGGUCCGACUUUAGCGAGACGCUCGUGAGCAUCGGGUCAUCUUCCAUGUGCUCCUGCGCAGCUCUUCCAGUAUUCACCAAUAUACCAGAAUGCUCACCCAUCGUGGCGCCAGGUGACGGCGCACGGGUGGAGGCGGGCGAUGAUAGUGACAGGACCUGCAUCUCCUCAGUGAGUGCCGCGUGCCGUCUCUUCUCCUCUCCUGCCCCAUCGUCGAGUCACCCGUAGGCGUCACUGAGUGUGCUUCGCCUGAACACGGGCAGAGGGAAGGGGAUGAAGCACUUCCGGCCCGAGCAGCUGCUGUGAAGGGGCCGGGACAUUCGUGCCACAGAGGACUUCCUGAUUCUCUUCUUCGUGGAACCCGCCCCCACCCCCUUGCAGACGAGUAUGCAUUGCUCACCGCAUGACAGC
rnacentral:misc_RNA from 1 species